rnacentral:rRNA from 1 species
AACGAACGCUGGCGGCAGGCCUAACACAUGCAAGUCGAGCGCGCCCUUCGGGGUGAGCGGCGGACGGGUGAGUAACGCGUGGGAACGUGCCCUUCUCUGCGGAAUAGCCUCGGGAAACUGAGAGUAAUACCGCAUACGCCCUUUGGGGGAAAGAUUUAUCGGGGAAGGAUCGGCCCGCGUUGGAUUAGGUAGUUGGUGGGGUAAUGGCCCACCAAGCCGACGAUCCAUAGCUGGUUUGAGAGGAUGAUCAGCCACACUGGGACUGAGACACGGCCCAGACUCCUACGGGAGGCAGCAGUGGGGAAUCUUAGACAAUGGGGGCAACCCUGAUCUAGCCAUGCCGCGUGAGUGAUGAAGGCCUUAGGGUUGUAAAGCUCUUUCAGCUGGGAAGAUAAUGACGGUACCAGCAGAAGAAGCCCCGGCUAACUCCGUGCCAGCCGCCGCGGUAA